rnacentral:lncRNA from 1 species
GCCCUGGUCUGAUGGCAGGCAAGUGGCUGCUGGCGACCUGGCCCGUCUGGGUGUUGAUCUGGCCUGGGGUCUGACGUGGAUGGCUCUUGGUUGCUGGCGGGACAGCGUGUAUCUGCUCUGGCCACUUCCGGCCACUUGGCCUGGGCCUCAGCACUCAGUGUAGCCUUUUCUGGGCCAAGCCCCCAUCCCCCUACCUAGGACUUUCCCGGCUCCAGAGGUCACCACGGCAGGCGGCAGGGAGGCUGCCAAAGCAAACCAGGCCCCGUGACUUGUGAGGCCGCCUGGCCUAGCAGGCACCACGCCACCGCCGCCACCGCCUCUGCCUCCCCGGCCGCCCGCUGCGGGGCCACCAUGCCGCUGCCCCGGCCUGGAGACUGACCCUCAACCGCACCAUCUCCAGGCUCUUCCCCCACCUGCUGGACCCCAGGGACCGAGGACUCCAGCACACUCUCCCAUCAGACUUGGAGAUUGGGCCCCCAGGUUUCUCCAUGUUCAGACUCGGGAGUCCAGCCCCCAAAUUCUUGCUUCCCCUCCGCCCUCUCUUCCCUCAGACCC